CGCGUACCGCCCCGUUCCCCCACCGUUUCCGACCCGGCAGCUUCUGGAAAACAGCGCCCUUGAUCCUCCCGGGCAGGAAGAAGGGCCAAGGAAGGGGUUAGAAGGGAAAGAGUUAGGAUUUCCCAAGAACCAGCCCUGAAGGCCUGGAGGUGGGGGAUUUCGCUUCUUAGUUGGACGGGAGCCCCUUGGGUUCCUCACUUCUUAGCCCGCGCCCUGCGGGAGGAGCGACUCUGCUUGUCCCUCAAGAUGCUUGUGAAGGUGCCCGCUGCGCUCUGACACCGGCGAUCUCUUAGGUACGACCCAGCGGGGUUGGGCUGGCGGCAGAAACCGGCGGAGUGCGCGACCUCGAACCCGUUUCGCGCCCACCUCCUUCACCCCCUUACAUCCUAUUUGCUCACAAGUUUUGGUUCAGGCCUGCUGUGUGCAGAGGCGCGUGCCAGAGACACGGAAUACAAAGACCUAGGCCGUAAGCCUUUAGAAGUCCCGAUGAGGCACACAGUACAGGAAGAGAGUGAGACAGAGUCUGUCUCCUGCCUCUCCUUUCUCCUGUUGUACAUUGAAUUUUCCAGGCAGUCCAAAAUAUUGCAGUAAACUGACAGCCACUCUGUCUCUUCCAAGAGAAAACAAAUUGAGUGCUUUCCGUCACUGCUGGGACAGCAGAGCCAGUUUACAGGAGGGAGUCCAUGCUGGGGCAUUUCUGUAACCACUGCAGAGAGCCACUCACUGAUUUUCAGAAGAAGUCUCAAUCCUC
rnacentral:lncRNA from 1 species